AUGAAGCAAAUUCGUCAACGCCAAAGGAUCAUUAUUCUCUCUCUCCUCUCUCUUUCCGUUGUUGCUCCUCUCAUUUUCCUCGGGAGAAGAGAGUUCCUUCAAGAUUUGUAUCGCGUUACAUACAGGACAGAUGGUUUGAAGUUAAAUGUUGUAGAACAUGGAGGUGCUGAAGAAUUUAAAGAGCAAAAUCUACGUUGGAAAGAAAUGGUUGGUAUAUGUAGCCAUUUUCAGGAUUCAGCCAAGAUGAAAGGCAAGAUGGGGAUGCUCGGAAGAAAGAUUCAUCCUCUUCGGAUGACGAUAUAA
rnacentral:lncRNA from 1 species